rnacentral:lncRNA from 1 species
UAGUAGUUUGUGUUCGUCGGAAACCUCACAGUAGUAGCUUUUGUAGGCGGUGGUAGUAGCUUUUGUAGCUGAUGGUAGUAGCUUUUAUAGCUGGUAGUAGUAAUUUUUGUCAUCGUCGGAGGUCGGCCGGAAACCUCACCGGAGGUCGGUCGGAAACCUCGCCGGAGGUCGGUCGGAAACCUCGCCGGAGGUCUGCCGGAAACCUCGCCGGAUGUCAGCUGGAAAUCUGGCCGGAGGUCGGCCGGAGACUAUUCUGAAAUAAGAGUGGUUGUUGACUUUUUAUACUAGUGGCAUUCUUGUAAAUAUAAAAGAGAAAAUCUAAUUUUUUUUGUUGGAUGACAGUCUGUAAUUACGUUGAACUUCAAUACUUAAUAUAAAACCUUAUUUAGACUUGGGUGGACUUAUGUGGGUAAAAAUGUUGGGGUGGACCUAUGUGGGAAAAAAUGUCUCAAAGUGGACUUAUAUGUAAUUGGCCCAAAAUAGAAAACAAACUUAAAUAGUACAAAUCACCUUUUUUUAUUUUUUAUUUUUUAUUAUGCACAUUUAACUCAUGUAUUAAGAUGGGUGGGAAACAAACAAACGGUUGGUCCUUCAUUUCUACUCGAAAAAAAAAAACGGUUGGUCCUUCAUUAGUAAUUAAUUGCACCACUUUUUGUUUAGGGUUUAUUAGAAUCGAUAGAUGUAAUUAUGACCUUUGGUUGCCAAACCCAAAUUGAGAUGCUUCAUGUUUCGAUCCGAAUCCUCUUCUCAUUUUUUUUCUCCAAACCUAUCUAAGCUUUCUAUUAAAUUAAGACACAUGUCGUGGCUUAGAUCUAAUGGCAUACAACUUUUUUUUACUUCUCCUCUUUUCUUUUCCCCCUCUUCUUCUCUUAUCAUACUCUGUCACAUCCCGACCCUUAUAUUUUUACCUUAUUUACUAGCGUGAUUAUAAUAAGAAUUUUACCGUCUCGAUCAUUGAGUAAAUAGUUUAAUUGGUCCCUAGAGGGGUUUCGGGGACGAUUAUGUGCGGAGGAUUAUUCGUAUGAGGAAAAUACGACUACGGUAAAAAUGGUAAAUUUUAGCUAGUAAAAGGUAAUUUUUAUUCGGGUAUUAUUUUUCGGGGUGUUGAAUUUUGGAAUUAUGGGUUAAAAGGAGAGUUGGGUCGGCUGGGCCGAGCCCAACCCAUUUCUUCUUCCUUUCUCUCUCUCUCCCUCCCGAUUUUUCUUCUCUUCCCACCCGGUUUUCUCCUUUCUCCACCCGGAAAGUUCUCCACCGCCGUCCGCCGCCGUCCGGCCGCCCCAGACCGCCACACCGGUCCCAAUCGAUCGACCUCCAACCCAGCAACCUUCCUGGA